rnacentral:rRNA from 1 species
AGAGUUUGAUCCUGGCUCAGAACGAACGCUGGCGGCAGGCUUAACACAUGCAAGUCGAACGCCCCUUUCGGGGGGAGUGGCAGACGGGUGAGUAACGCGUGGGAGCGUGCCCUUCAGUUCGGAAUAACCCAGGGAAACUUGGGCUAAUACCGGAUACGUGCGAGAGCAGAAAGAUUUAUCGCUGAAGGAUCGGCCCGCGUCUGAUUAGCUGGUUGGUGAGGUAAUGGCUCACCAAGGCGACGAUCAGUAGCUGGUCUGAGAGGAUGAUCAGCCACAUUGGGACUGAGAGACGGCCCAGACUCCUACGGGAGGCAGC